rnacentral:rRNA from 1 species
AUUGAACGCUGGCGGCAGGCUUAACACGUGCAAGUCGAGCGGGGAAGGGUAGCUUGCUACCUGACCUAGCGGCGGACGGGUGAGUAAUGCUUAGGAAUCUGCCUAUUAGUGGGGGACAACAUUCCGAAAGGAAUGCUAAUACCGCAUACGCCCUACGGGGGAAAGCAGGGGAUCUUCGGACCUUGCGCUAAUAGAUGAGCCUAAGUCAGAUUAGCUAGUUGGUGGGGUAAAGGCCUACCAAGGCGACGAUCUGUAGCGGGUCUGAGAGGAUGAUCCGCCACACUGGGACUGGGACACGGCCCAGACUCCUACGGGAGGCAGCAGUGGGGAAUAUUGGACAAGGGGCGCAAGCCUGAUCCAGGCAUGCCGCGUGUGUGAAGAAGGCCUUUUGGUUGUAAAGCACUUUGAGCGAGGAGGAGGCUACUUGGAUUAAUACUCUAGGAUAGUGGACGUUACUCGCAGAAUAAGCACCGGCUAACUCUGUGCCAGCAGCCGCAGUAACAC